rnacentral:lncRNA from 1 species
UACGCUUCAAUUCUUAAGCAUAUUCACAUUAUUAUUACAGACUACAUACUAACAAGAUAUAAUGAAUCAAAUUAUUUUGAUACAGUUUUACAAUCACUUUAAAAUUAAAUUGGGCAUACUCAACAAAAACUUCGUAAAAAGUUUUGUUGUAAUUUUUUGACUCUGUUGACAAAACUCAGUAGGACCGAUCCUUAUCUUAGCUUUCGAAUACACUUACUAUUUUGUAAUAAUAUAAUUAUGUAUUGUAAUCAGAUCUUUUAUUAUAUUUUAACAAAUAAUGUUUCUAUUUACAUAUAUAGUUACAUAUAGACCUUAGUGCUUUUGUUGCUAACAAAGGCUCCUACUUAAAAAAUAAUAGCAAUACGGUAGAAUUGGAUAAAUUAGUAAUUGAAACAGGCACACAAUGCUUUGAUGUGUGGAGGGAGGUGAGUACCAUGUCCUGCUCUGGGUUCUCAUAAAUCCAUACCAAUCCAGCCCAUGUACCAUGGCGAGACGCAGUUUUUAUCGCGCCAAAACCUAUUGCCGUUUCGCUAUUUAUUAUGACGUGAAAUUGUACAGCGUUAGUUUUUCGCGCGCGACAAAAACAGCGACGCGCGUGCCAUGCUAAAAAAAUGUACUGUUUCUGUGGGAUUUUCAAUACACCAAAAUUUUCGCGCUCAUACCGCGGGCGACGCUAGUAAAAAAACAUUACACACUGUUUAGUUAUUACUCGAUCUACAACUUUGCCGCAUCAAUUAUGGCAGGCGUAAA